GUGCACGCUGGCGGUAGGCCUCACACCUGCCAGUCGAACGGCAGCACAGUAAGAGCUUGCUCUUACGGGUGGCGAGUGGCGGACGGGUGAGGAAUACAUCAGAAUCUACUUUUUCGUGGGGGAUAACGUAGGGAAACUUACGCUAAUACCGCAUACGACCUACGGGUGAAAGCAGGGGAUCUUCGGACCUUGCGCGAUUGAAUGAGCCGAUGUCGGAUUAGCUAGUUGGCGGGGUAAAGGCCCACCAAGGCGACGAUCCGUAGCUGGUCUGAGAGGAUGAUCAGCCACACUGGAACUGAGACACGGUCCAGACUCCUACGGGAGGCAGCAGUGGGGAAUAUUGGACAAUGGGCGCAAGCCUGAUCCAGCCAUACCGCGUGGGUGAAGAAGGCCUUCGGGUUGUAAAGCCCUUUUGUUGGGAAAGAAAAGCAGCAGGUUAAUACCCCGCUGUUCUGACGGUACCCAAAGAAUAAGCACCGGCUAACUUCGUG
rnacentral:rRNA from 1 species